AUAAAAAAGCGCCAGAGCUAUUUACUAUUUUAGUUAGAAAAUAGCUGACGAGGUUGGGGAGUAUCGAUACUUCGGCGGGUGCCCCACGGUAUGCACACUACCGUUAACAGCUAAUAAAACUGUGAAGUGAUUUGCAGGACAAGAU
rnacentral:ncRNA from 1 species